rnacentral:rRNA from 1 species
UACGGAGGAGGCAAGCGUUAUCCGGAAUUAUUGGGCGUAAAGCGUCCGUAGGCGGCCAGCACAAGUCAGUUGUGAAAUCUCCGAGCUUAACUCGGAAAGGUCAACUGAUACUGUGCGGCUAGAGUGCAGAAGGGGCAACUGGAAUUCUUGGUGUAGCGGUGAAAUGCGUAGAUAUCAAGAGGAACACCUGCGGCGAAGGCGGGUUGCUGGGCUGACACUGACGCUGAGGCGCGAAAGCUAGGGGAGCGAACGGG